rnacentral:rRNA from 1 species
GCUACGGGAGGCAGCAGUGGGGGAUAUUGGACAAUGGGGGGCACCCUGAUCCAGCGACGCCGCGUGAGUGAAGAAGUAUUUCGGUAUGUAAAGCUCUGUCAGCAGGGAAGAAAGCACUGACGGUACAUGACCCAGAAGCCCCGGCUAACUACGUGCCAGCAGACGCGGGAAUACGUCGGGUGCAGGAGUUAUUCGGAAUUACUGGGUGUAAAGGGAGCGUAGGCGGCUGUGCAAGUAUGGAGUGAAAGGCUGGGGCUCAACCCCCGGACUGGGCUGGAAACUGUAUGGCUUGAGUGCAGUAGAGGUGAGCGGAAUUCCUAGUGUAGCGGUGAAAUGCGUAGAUAUUAGGAGGAACACCAGUGGCGAAGGCGGCUUACUGGACUGUAACUGACGUUGAGGCUCGAAAGUGUGGGUAUCAAACAGGAUUAGAUACCCCUGUAGUC